GGUUGAUCCUGCGCAGUAGUCAU
rnacentral:rRNA from 1 species